AGAGUUUGAUCCUGGCUCAGGAUGAACGCUAGCUACAGGCUUAACACCUGCAAGUCGAGGGGAAACGACAUCGAAAGCUUGCUUUUGAUGGGCGCCGACCGGCGCACGGGUGAGUAACGCGUAUCCAACCUGCCCACCACUUGGGGAUAACCUUGCGAAAGUAAGACUAAUACCCAAUGACGUCUCUAGAAGACAUCUGAAGGAGAUUAAAGAUUUAUCGGUGAUGGAUGGGGAUGCGUCUGAUUAGCUUGUUGGCGGGGUAACGGCCACCAAGGCGACGAUCAGUAGGGGUUCUGAGAGGAAGGUCCCCCANAUUGGAACUGAGACACGGUCCAAACUCCUACGGGAGGCA
rnacentral:rRNA from 1 species